CCUAGACACUGGGAGAAAGUUACUUCACCAUGUCUUGGGCAGUCUGUGACUUCCAAAAUUGUGUGGAGAGAACUCUCUUAGUUUGGUUGCUGUUGUUGUUUAAGUUUUAAAUUAAUUAAUUCAAAUUGAUUUUACAGAGUACCUGCCACAGGUACUCUGUACCUUUUCUUUUCUGGGAGCUCGGCAUCGAGUGGUGUGAACUAACCGAAUGCAGGCGGUUGCAAUUCAGUGGAUGGGAGCCAGGAUUCGGGAACUGGCUGCUCUGGGAGCAUGGAGUUACCUUGCCAAUAACAUCCCAAAGGUGACUCAGCAGCUGACAGGUAGGAGGGACUCAGGCAAAGGAAGAGAAGAGGGUCCUGGCAAGAGGAAACCCCACUUGCAAACACCAGGAUGCAAAGAAGACACAUGGAGAAGAUGCCGUCUAUGAGCCAAAAAGCAGGACCCUCACCAGACACCGAAUCUGCUGGUGCCAUCAUCUUGGACUUCCUAACCUCUAGAACGGCCCCGUGUGAGGCAUUGGGGUGCAGAGCUGCAGAAGACGCAGUCCAGGCCUCAUGGAUCUCACAGUCGGAGUGGAGGAGACCACCAAGGACAAAGACCACCUGGAAGAGUUCUCGGUAUCUCUUCCCAGAAACUCUCUUUGCUGGCUUCACUGCCUAGUUGCUCCCAGAUUUCCCAGAAUCCUGAUGUCCAGCCACACAAGCAUUCCCUGUCUGGCACAUUUUCAAACACCUGUGUUUGACAGGCCUCCACAAAUAAUACUUAUGGUGAGGAUAAGUGGAUAGUAUUUGAUGUUAUUACUAUUAUUUGCACAUCUUACCAUCCUUCUUAGAUGGUAAAUUACUCAGGACUGAUUUCCCCAAAUGGCUCAUUUCUGUAUCAGCUUAAAGGCCCAGCAGAGUACCUAGGACAUGAGAAGAUAUCCAAAAACAGAUGGCGAAUGAAUUAAUUCAUCUAACAAAUAUUCUUUGAGCUUUUACUCUGAAGCAGGCACUGAGCCAGGUUAUCAGGGGCACAAGAACAAAGAAAGGCAACAGGGUCCCUGCCCCUAAUGAAUGGAUGUCUGACUCGCUGGCUGAAACUGGCCAGCCUCGGAGGACCCAGACCUCCAUGGGGCUGGAAGUGGUGCCAUCAUCUUGGUGUGACACAGACUUCCUGGAUGUCCUCUGCCUCCUUCCUGUGGAGCUGGCUGAGCUCUGGGGAGAUGGCUGCCCACUGUGGUUUACCUGAUGUCCUGAACACUCUCAGCUGGCAGCCAAAGGCUAUAUUUAAAUAGCAAACAUUUGCAUUUUUAAUGUUGACUGGAAUUGGAAAGGCAAUGAUAACCUUUCUAAGCUGAUAUUGGUUUUUACAUGAUUGAAACAGGCCGGGCCUGAGGCAUUUCUUAAAUGGAAAAUUUGAAGUAUUUUCAAUAUCAGUGAGAGUGCAGAACCAUCUUGAAACACUGUGCCUGUUUGGAUUUUCAGAAAAUGUCACCUCCCUCCCUUGAGCACACUCAGCACCUUCGCCCUGUUCACAUUUCAGGGUCAUUCCUUCAUUGGGUCCUCCUAACCCUCUGAGAGGGUAGACAGCCUGAGGCCUGUGUCACUGGCGAGGAAGAGUUUAGGGAAGCCCAGAGGGCAGUGGAAAGGGCUCUGGCCUUAGAACUGGCUCCGAGUACCUUCCCUACACCUCACCACUCGGGUCUUCCUAAGCCUCCUUUUCUCACCUGUAGCAUAGUAAUAUAAAUGCCUGUUUCGUGGUGUAUUAGUUCGUUUCCACACUGCUAUAAAGAAAUACCUGAGGCCAGGCACAGUGGCUCACGCCUGUAAUCCUAAUACUUCCGGAGGCCGAGGCAGGCAAAUCACCUGAGGUCGGCAGUUCGAGACCAGCCUGACCAACAUGGAGAAACCCCGUCUCUACUAAAAAUACAAAAGUAGCUGGGCAUGGUGGUGCAUGCCUGUAAUUCCAGCUACUCAGGAGGCUGAGGCAGGAGAAUCGCUUGAACCCGGGAGGCAGAGGUUGCAGUGAGCUGAGGUCACGCCAUUGCACUCCAGUCUGGGCAACAAGAGCAAAACUCCGUCUCAAAAAAAAAAAAAAAAAAGAAAUAUUUGAGACUAGGUAAUUCAUAAAGAAAAGAGGUUUUAAUUGACUCACAGUUCUGCAUGGCUGGGAGGCUUCAGGAAACUGACAAUCCAAUCAUGGCGGAAGGCCAAGGGGAAGCAGGCACCUUUUUCACAAGGUGAGAGGAAAGAGACAGACAAGGAAGAGGAACUGCUAAACACUUAUAAAACCAGCAGAUCUCAUGAGAACUCACUCACUAUCAUGAGAACAGCAUGGGGGGAACCACCUCCACGAUCCCAUCACUUCCCACCAUGUCCCUCCGUUGACACGUGGGGAUUACAAUUCAAGAUGAGAUUUGGGUAGGAACACAGAGCCGUGCUGUUCAAAUGUGCUCAUCUGUAAAAAUGCUUACCACCCCACACCUGGCACUUUGCUAAUGCUCAAAGGUCAUUAGUUCUUGUCCCUCCCCUGGCAGAGACCUGCCUAAGGUAACACGUCAAAAUCAAGUGAGAACUGUAGGCUCCUGGCUCCCAGACCUCUUUCCAAGAGGCUGGGGACACAGAUUAAGACAUGCACAGCUGGGUUAAAGCAGAAGGACUCAUUUUCAUCAUUACUUUAUUCUGACUACCAUCAUUAACAAAAUAUGCCAUGACAUCCUGUCUGAAGACUUCUUGGCAACUGUAUUUUCCUCCUGUUUUUGUUGUAGUAAAAGUUGUUGCAUUGUUCCAUAUGCUCAAUAGCCACGUGUAGCUAUUUAAGUCUAAAUUAAAAUUAAACACAAUUUAAAAUUCAGU
rnacentral:lncRNA from 10 species